rnacentral:rRNA from 1 species
AUUGAACGCUGGCGGCAGGCCUAACACAGGCAAGUCGAACGAGGGGAGGGCGGGUGAGUAAUGUGUGGGAAACCGGCCGAUGGGGGGGGAUAACUAGUGGAAACGGUCGCUAAUACCGCAUGCCAUGGGAUGUGACGAGGUGGGAUUAGCUAGGAGGGGGGGUAACGGCGCACCGAGGCGACGAUCCCUAGCUGGUCUGAGAGGAUGACCAGCCACACUGGAACUGAGACACGGUCCAGACUCCUACGGGAGGCAGCAGUGGGGAAUAUUGCACAAUGGGCGCAAGCCUGAUGCAGCCAUGCCGCGUGUAUGAAGAAGGCCUUCGGGUUGUAAAGUACUUUCAGCGAGGAGGCGUUACUCGCAGAAGAAGCACCGGCUAACUCCGUGCCAGCAGCCGCGGUAAUAC